rnacentral:rRNA from 1 species
GGGUCAGUAGGUUGGUCGUGCCACCGGUACGUACUGGUCUCACUGAUUCCUCCUUCCUGAAGAACCGUAAUGCCAUUAAUUUGGUGUUGCGGGGAAACAGGACUGUUACUUUGAAAAAAUUAGAGUGUUUAAAGCAAGCUAACGCUUGAAUACAUUAGCAUGGAAUAAUGAAAUAGGACGAUCGAUCCUAUUUUGUUGGUCUCUAGGAUUGACGUAAUGUUAAUAGGGAUAGUUGGG